rnacentral:rRNA from 1 species
AGAGUUUGAUCAUGGCUCAGGAUAAACGCUGGCGGCGCACAUAAGACAUGCAAGUCGAGCGAACUUAACCAUAAGUUUACUUUUGGAGCGGUUAGUGGCGGACUGGUGAGUAACACGUAAGCAACCUACCUAACAGAGGGGAAUAACAGUUAGAAAUGACUGCUAAUACCGCAUAUGCCUUGAGUAUCGCAUGGUACAAGAGGGAAAGGAGAAAUCCGCUGAUAGAUGGGCUUGCGUCUGAUUAGCUAGUUGGUGGAGUAACGGCCUACCAAGGCAACGAUCAGUAGCCGGACUGAGAGGUUGAACGGCCACAUUGGGACUGAGAUACGGCCCAGACUCCUACGGGAGGCAGCAGUCGGGAAUAUUGCGCAAUGGAGGAAACUCUGACGCAGUGACGCCGCGUGCAGGAAGAAGGUCUUCGGAUUGUAAACUGCUUUAGACAGGGAAGAUAGCAGACAGUACCUGUAGAAUAAGCUCCGGCUAACUACGUGCCAGCAGCCGCGGUAAUACGUAGGGAGCAAGCGUUAUCCGGAUUUAUUGGGUGUAAAGGGUGCGUAGACGGGAAGGCAAGUUGGUUGUGAAAUCCCUCGGCUUAACUGAGGAACUGCAACCAAAACUACAUUUCUUGAGUGCUGGAGAGGAAAGUGGAAUUCCUAGUGUAGCGGUGAAAUGCGUAGAUAUUAGGAGGAACACCAGUGGCGAAGGCGACUUACUGGACUGUAACUGACGUUGAGGCUCGAAAGCGUGGGGAGCAAACAGGAUUAGAUACCCUGGUAGUCCACGCCGUAAACGAUGAUUAC